GUCCCGGGGCGGGGCCGGGCCGAGGGGGCCGAAGUGCGCUGCAACUCUGAGCCCCGCCCCAGAGCUGCAAAUCUAGAGUGGCGGAGGGAGCGUGCGCACACGCCCCACAGACCCUGAGUUUGGGAUGCGGAAGGUUUGGGUGCCCUCCCGGCCCCACCCGGUGCACGAGCUCACGCCGGCGGCGGACCCGGAACUGGUGCCUACAGCCGGCCAAGUGCGGGCAGGCCCUGCGCCGAGAGCGCCCAGCGAGCGGAACCUGACUUGGAGUCCCAGCGCUGCUGCUUUCUCCAGAGGGACUUGGAGCACGUCACUCCACCUGAGCUGGGUCUGAUCCUCAGAAUUCAAGAGCUUCAGGCUACCUUUUUUAUUGAGUACCUGCUGAGUACCAGGCACGAAAAGAUGACAGGUGACUUAAAGAUCCCUGCCUUGGUCGCUACCAGGAUAGUUGUGAGGAUGACAAAGCAGCAUUACCUUGGUGAAUACAAGUCGAAGGAGCUCUACACCAUCAUUGCUUGAAGGUUCUGCAGGUAUCUGAAGUUUGGACAAAGAUCACAUAGCUGCUUCAGCAGAGAGCCAGAAUUUGGAUGGAGAACUCUCUUGAAGAAAUCUCCAGGGAACGAGUGGGGAAGACCAGGGAGUCAUAAUAACAAAUUACAACUAUCCAGGGCUUCAUAGUUUGCAAAGCCGAGAGGGGCACUGAGAUGACCGUGCACCUUCACCUCUCAGAGCCCUGAUCCCCUCCUUGAGGAAUGGGAAUCGUGAUACCUAUCUUUGGGGACUGUUGAGGUGAUUGGAUAAGAUAAUGCCUGUGAAUCACCCCAUAAGGGACCUGGCACAUGGUAGAUGCUCCGUGCCUGGGGGUGAACACUAUUUUCUCUUAUUUGAGCUUUAAAUUCUGUGUGGACAUUAUUAGCAUGGCUAUUUAACUGGCAAGAAAAGCAGGGCUUGCAGAGGCUUACUAAUUUUCCCCUGGUAGAUCAGGGAGAAUUAGAAUCUCCUAUAGGAGCCCAAUCCCAAAUCCAGUGUCAUACCCACCACCCACAGCUACUAGCACUAGAGGAAGAAUAUAUCUUACAAGCACCUCCAGAUUCCUCUUUCACCCUCCCUCUCAUCCCCAGGUUCACUCUCUCUCUGCAACCAUCCCAUGUGGGCUGUGGGGAGAAGUAAACCUGAGGGGAGUUGUUAAUCUGAUUAGUAAGUGAAUGAUGCUUCUUGCACCCACCUCCCUGGCCCAUCCUGCAGCUUCUGGCAGCUCCCCACCACCACCACCAAGUUUCCCCACAGCCUCCACUUCUGUAAUGCCACAGGGACCUCAGCCUGCCAGAGUUCAGAUUCACAGGGAUUCUGGUCCAACCAGAUGGGCUGAACCAUAAGAUCAUUAACAUAAAUCAGAAAAUUUCUCAGAAUUGAGAAGUCUUCAGAGCUACAAAGACUACCAAUAAUUAAAUUUCUUAAAAAAUAUAUAUUCAAAACCAUAAUAGUGUUAAUUGUAGUUUUAAGUUUCUCCCUGGUAAAGGCAGUAUAGGAGGCAAUUUACAAUCCCCAGCCCUGACAACAACUGGAAAAGCAGAUAUUAUUAUUCCCAUCUUAUCAAUGGAAAAGUCUAGGCUCAGGAAAUGAAUAAUCUUGGUGUAAGUCAUUUAAGUAAUUGCUAAAUGGUGAAGGCCUGGGAUUUAAACUCAGGUCUAUCUGCCCUCAGAGCUCCUGCUGUGGUCUAGAGCACUUCUUUAACAUGCACAAGGCCCUGGGUUCCAUCCCCUACACCACAGAAGAAGAAUGAGGAGAAGGAAAUGAAGAAUGGUGUGUGUGUGUAGCGGGGGGAGCAGGUAGGAGGAGGAGGGGAAAGUAAGAGAAAAAGGAAGAACAAGACAGGAAGAAGAAGCAGGAGGAGGAAAGAAGAAAGGAAGGAAGAAAAGAGAAAAGCAAGCACUCUACCUCAAGGUUCUUCUGCCACACAAAAAUACAUGUACGGGGAGUUGUGGGACACCAAUCUCAGCAUAACUCUGAAGAAAAAUGGAAACAGCCUAAAAACACAAAAAUAGGGACCUGUGGGUCUAGCUCAGUGGUAGAUCACGUGCUUAGCAUGCUCAAAGCUCUGGGUUCUAUCUCAGCACCAAGCAAAAGACAAAAAUAGGAGGAUAUUUAUAUGUAUUAUAAUGAGUGUAGUCACACUAUUUUACAGUUAUGGGAAAUAAUACAAAGAAUACAAUGAAUACUUAUGAUAAAUGAAAAAUGUAGGUUAUAGAAUGUACCCCUAUGGAGAUUAAAUUUAUAAAUAUGCACAUUAAGUAUAAACAUCAAAUAUGAUGAUGACUGUGUGGUGGGAUUUGGAGGGAUUUUUCCUCCUCCAGUUACUAAUCUUGCUGUGAUGCAGUUAAAUUACUUUAGUAAUUUACAGAUUAAAAAGUUUUUUUAAAGACAGUCUUCUCAGAAAUCCUGUAGCUUUGCACACAGAGUACAUAAACCAGCAGGCAUGGUCUUUAAAUUGCUCACUAGUUAGAUGAAUUUCCUUGAGCACCUGCUCCAAACCCUAGAGACCCAUCUGCUCUCAAAUCAUAGCCCUUUCUGCUUAAGCAGGCAGUGGGAAUUACUGUCCCCCACUUCCAUGUCUGUCUGCUGAUGCCACGCUCCCAUCCGGAGCUGCUCUCUCCACCAUGGAAGCCACUGCCCUCUGUGCACCAGUAAAAUAAAUUAAUUUAGAUAAAUAAACAAUUCAGUUCCUCUGUUAGUCUCACUGGUCAUACCCCAAGCACUUGAUAGCCGCAUUAACCUAGCAACUAUCAUCAUGGACAGCACCAAUAUAAAUAUUUCUAUCAUAGCAGCAAGCUCUACCGGGCUGCACUGAUCUAGCAUCUAAGCCGAAGACAAUACAAUAUCUUGAACUUUAGCUAGACAAAAGAUUUCCCAACCACUUGGUAUCAAUGGAUUGAACAGACAAUGGUUUUUCCAUCCUGAGAUUUUACUCUAGAUGUAUCCUAUCUAUCUACCCUAUGUCUAUUCUGGAAAGUUCAUGGGUCAGGGAAAAUUAAGGAUGUCUCCUCCCUGCUAAAAAUGUGGGUAGGUUUUCCAUUAUAGCUCCCCUCCCCCCUCUUCAGUGCUGGGCAUUGAACCCAAGCUUCAUGCAUACUAGGUAAGUGCUGUACCCAUCUACCACUGACCUACAUGCCCAAUCCUAAUCAUGGUUAUUUAAAAAGUGCUUUGCAGAAUGAAGAUUGAUCAGGGAGGGUGGAAGGAGGAGGAAGGUUAAUCAGAGUAUUGCUUUUUAUUAUGCUUUUUAUCAGUAAGCCACUUACUGAGAUUUCCUAUAUGCUGAGCACUGGCUUAUAUUUUUAUCUCAGUUAAUUCUCACAGUUCUGCAAUGUAUGUUUUACUGCAUUAUAUGCCAAGAUAAAGACAUUGAAGUUCAAAGAAGUAAUGGAACUUACCCAAUUUCAUAAGCUGGAGUCCAUACCUUCAGACACCAAAGCUCAUGCUCUUUCUACUGCAUUGACAAGCCUUCUGGGAAAUUCCAAAUCUCAUAGGAUUCUAAUAGGCUCUGCUUAAGUAACAA